rnacentral:rRNA from 1 species
CUGACGCAGCAUGCCGCGUGAUGAGAAGGCCUUCGGGUUGUAAAGUUCUUUCGGUGACGAGGAAGGUUGUUGUGUUAAUAGCGCAACAAAUUGACGUUAAUCACAGAAGAAGCACCGGCUAACUCCGUGCCAGCAGCCGCGGUAAUACGGAGGGUGCGAGCGUUAAUCGGAAUAACUGGGCGUAAAGGGCACGCAGGCGGCUAUUUAAGUGAGGUGUGAAAUCCCCGGGCUUAACCUGGGAAUUGCAUUUCAGACUGGGUAGCUAGAGUACUUUAGGGAGGGGUAGAAUUCCACGUGUAGCGGUGAAAUGCGUAGAGAUGUGGAGGAAUACCGAAGGCGAAGGCAGCCCCUUGGGAAUGUACUGACGCUCAUGUGCGAAAGCGUGGGGAGCAAACA